rnacentral:rRNA from 1 species
ACGGGAGGCAGCAGUGGGGAAUAUUGGGCAAUGGGCGAAAGCCUGACCCAGCGACGCCGCGUGAGGGAAGAAGGUCUUCGGAUUGUAAACCUUAGUCAACAGGGAAGAAGAAAGUGACGGUACCUGUGGAGGAAGCCACGGCUAACUACGUGCCAGCAGCCGCGGUAAUACGUAGGUGGCAAGCGUUAUCCGGAUUUAUUGGGUGUAAAGGGUGUGUAGGCGGGACGGCAAGUCAGAUGUGAAAACUCAGGGCUUAACCUUGAGCCUGCAUUUGAAACUGUCGUUCUUGAGUGUCGGAGAGGUAAAUGGAAUUCCCAGUGUAGCGGUGAAAUGCGUAGAUAUUGGGAGGAACACCAGUGGCGAAGGCGAUUUACUGGACGACAACUGACGCUGAGACACGAAAGCGUGGGGAGCAAACAGGAUUAGAUACCCUGGUA